UCCAAUCCCUUUCACUGAAUCACAAAUUCAAUCCCUAAUUGAAGAAUCAAGGCUUACUGAACCCAAAUCGAAGAUCAGUGAAACGAUUAAGGGUUGUUACAGAGUCAUAAUUGCACCGCCUCUGCUCUCGAUCUAAAACUAGCUAUAAAGGUGGAAAAUAUGAUAAAGCUAAAUGAUGAAUUUGAUUACAAAAGCUUAUCAAGAAGGAUAGACAUAUAAGUAGGUAAACUCAUUAUGCAACAUGAUAGACAACAGAAGGCAUUUGAGGAUGAGAUUGAAAGCUUAGGUACUGAAGCACAACAUCUGAUACUUGAGGCUUAAAGAAACUUUGUAGAUUCAUUGGAGAUGAUGAUAAUUGACUCUAAAUUACCUUAUCCAAGUGGAACUGCUACAGGUGUUCUUAUUAAUGGAUUCCAUACUCCUUAAGGAAAUGUCAUGGCCAAGUAUGAUUACGAGGCCGAUUAUGUUUGUGUUAUUUGUCUUCUAUAUUUGUAAUUUCAAGAUGAAAACAUAUAAAACUAGUUUGGCAUCUUUGACAGGAAGUAACUUA